rnacentral:rRNA from 1 species
UACGGAGGAUGCAAGCGUUAUCCGGAAUUAUUGGGCGUAAAGCGUCCGCAGGUGGUUGAACAAGUCUGCUGUCAAAGCGCGGAGCUUAACUCCGUACAGGCGGUGGAAACUGUUGAACUGGAGUACGGUAGGGGUAGCGGGAAUUCCCAGUGUAGCGGUGAAAUGCGUAGAUAUUGGGAAGAACACCAGCGGCGAAAGCGCGCUACUGGGCCUGUACUGACACUGAGGGACGAAAGCGUGGGGAGCAAACAGG